UGUGGCUCAGUUGGUAGAGUGCUUGCCUAAGAUGUAUGAGGCCCUGAGUUCAAUCCCCAGCA
rnacentral:tRNA from 1 species